AUUAACAGGAAGAUGUAAAUAAUAGUUUUUCAGUACAUCUCCCUGGUAUUACUACAAUAAAAUCGUAUUAUCACCACAUAGUGAUCACAGUCUUGACACUAUGCUUUGUGAAACCCCAGAGGGGUCAUGGUGGAGACUUUGGAAAAUCAGGUCACAUGCAGCUCGUCUGGCCCGAUCAUUGGUUGCACCAGGAUGGUGUGAGGAAGAGGGAAAUCAUAUUUCAAAUUCAAGUGGGGAUUCAUUGUUUCAUCGUCGAUUACAACAAGCGUUGUGUUAAAUUUGAUUCGUUAAAUUAAUUUCGCAAAACGAAAAUGUGCAUGGGUUCUACUCCACUGGACGGAGACAAAUGAGACAAGUAUCCUGGACGAUUCAAUGGUUCCAGAUAAAAUAAUGUUUGAGGACAACAGAAAGAUUGAGAUGGAGAAUAUGGAGACCCAAAGUUAACAACAACCCUCCAAGAAAAAAUGUCUGAAUGGCGUACUGUAUUCAAGUGUUGUCGUUUCUAUUCAUAUAGGUUGCACUAGUUACAUUAAAUGUUUCUAGUGCAAAGUUUCAAAGGACUAUUAUGCAGCUUAAAAAAAGCCAACAUGCAAGUAGACUGGGAUGUGCUGCAAUGACAAAAAAAAAAAAUACAGUAUCUGCAAUAGUUGAAUACCCAGAUAUCCAGUCAGCAGCUGUAAAAACCAAGAUGACUAAAAUAUGUAAAGAUACAAGGCGCUCCAUGUCAAAGGGAAUGGAUACAGUAGAUAAUGUUUAACAACAGGCACUUAAUGUGCAGUAAUUUUUUAAUUUUAAAUUGUAAUUGUCAUUAUCUUUGCUAAAGGUAUAACUUAGCAAGUGUUGUAAUUUAUUUUGUUUAAGUUUAUUUCAUAUCCUACAGAUGAGCUGUAGCAUGCUUUACCAUCUAAGUAACUGUUUGUCUACAUGCAAUAAAAACAAUUAACAAAAUUGUAAACUCAUUGCUACAUUAACUUAACAACUAUUAAAAUCCUUGACUAAUUUUAUGCAAAACAAUACUUUUAGUGUGAAACAGUUACUGUAUACAUUUGACUAAUGUUAUAACACAUACGUAAUUCGUCUGACUAUUAUGCAAUAAUCUUAUGAUAGUGCUUAUAUGUACUUAAAAGUUAGUUUAAUAAAUGUUUAUUUUAUCAAUUUUAAAACUGUUAAUAUUUUAUUUUUGUUGUACCUUGCAGGAUGAAGGUGAGAACUUUGAGAUUGUGCAUGUGAUGGUUUUACUGCGUGAUGACACUGAAUCGUUGUAGAACAAACAGUUUUGUGUAAACUUCACCAAUAACACAUUGUCAAUUAUGUGUUAACACUGUGUUUACUGUAUGUUGGCAAGAUAUGACAACAAUGUGUUUACUGUGAAAACCUCACCAAUUUCACAUAGUCAACAGAGUAAACACACUGUGUUUAUUGUGGGGUGACACUAUGUUUACUCUAUAGGGACAAUGUGUUUAGUGACAAUAUGGAUAUAAUUUGUUUAUUGUGUGGUACACUAUGAGAACAGUGUGUGAACAGUGUGUUAACACUGUGUUUACUGAAUGUUAGCAAUUUGUGACAACAAUGUGUUUAAUGUGUUUCACACUGAGAAAACCUCACCAAUUUCACAUAUUCCACAGAGUGAACACACUGUAAACACACUGUGUUUAUUGUGUGGUGACACUAUGGAAACACUAUGUUCACUGUGUGGGGACAGUGUGUUAAUUGUGUGGCUACACUAUGGGGACAGUGUGUUUACUGUGUGGGAACAAUGUGAUUAUUGUGUGGUGACACUAUGUUUAUGUUUGGUGUCACUAUGGAAACACUGUGUUUACUGUGUGCGGACAGUGUCUUAAUUGUGUGGCUACACUAUGGCGACAUUGUGUUUAUUGUGUGGUGACUGUGUGUAAACACGGUGUUUCACACAGUGUACAGUGUGAAAACCUCACA